rnacentral:rRNA from 1 species
GACAGAGGUGCCGAGCGUUAGGCGGAAUCACUGGGCUUAAAGCGUGUGUAGGCGGGUCGUUAAGUGUCUUGUGAAAUCCCCCGGCUCAACCGGGGAAUGGCUGGGCAUACUGGCGAUCUUGAGCAGUCUAGGGGCAGAUGGAACAAGUGGUGUAGCGGUGAAAUGCGUAGAUAUCUGGAGGAACACCGGUGGCGAAGGCGGCAUUCUGGACCGAAACUGACGCUGAGGCGCGAAAGCGUGGGGAGCGAACAGG